AGAGUUUGAUCCUGGCUCAGGACGAACGCUGGCGGCGUGCCUAACACAUGCAAGUCGAGCGGGGAACGGAUGGUAGCUUGCUACUGUUUGUUUCUAGCGGCGGACGGGUGAGUAACGCGUGAGCAACCUGCCUUUAUCAGGGGGAUAACGCAUCGAAAGAUGUGCUAAUACCGCGUAAGACCACAGCUUCACAUGGAGCGGGGGUCAAAGGAGCAAUCCGGAUAAAGAUGGGCUCGCGUCCGAUUAGCUAGUUGGUGAGAUAACAGCCCACCAAGGCGACGAUCGGUAGCCGACCUGAGAGGGUGAUCGGCCACAUUGGAACUGAGAGACGGUCCAGACUCCUACGGGAGGCAGCAGUGGGGAAUAUUGGGCAAUGGGCGAAAGCCUGACCCAGCAACGCCGCGUGAGGGAAGAAGGGUUUCGGCUCGUAAACCUCUGUCCUAUGGGACGAAGGAAGUGACGGUACCAUAGGAGGAAGCCCCGGCUAACUACGUGCCAGCAGCCGCGGUAAUACGUAGGGGGCGAGCGUUGUCCGGAAUGAUUGGGCGUAAAGGGCGCGUAGGCGGCCUGCUAAGUCUGGAGUGAAAGUCCUGCUUUCAAGGUGGGAAUUGCUUUGGAUACUGGUGGGCUGGAGUGCAGGAGAGGAAAGCGGAAUUACCGGUGUAGCGGUGAAAUGCGUAGAGAUCGGUAGGAACACCAGUGGCGAAGGCGGCUUACUGGACUGUAACUGACGUUGAGGCUCGAAAGCGUGGGGAGCAAACAGGAUUAGAUACCCUGGUAGUCCACGCCGUAAACGAUGAUUACUAGGUGUUGG
rnacentral:rRNA from 1 species